rnacentral:lncRNA from 1 species
AAAUGAAUGCAUGAAUGAGGAGGGGAAAUUUUGGGGUGUUACAGCUGCCCCUAUUCAGUCAUCAGCUAACCUGAGCAGGAUGAAAGCGAACAACUUAUCAGACAAACAGGGUGAGCUGUGAUUGAAUACCAAAGACAACCCGAAAAUUUGCGCUCUGAGAACACCACAAAAAUGCUGAAAUACACCGCGUUGUUUAUUUCUCUUCCGAUCCUCUGGCUGAAUCU